AUUGAACGCUGGCGGCAGGCUUAACACAUGCAAGUCGAGCGGAGAUGAGGUGCUUGCACCUUAUCUUAGCGGCGGACGGGUGAGUAAUGCUUAGGAAUCUGCCUAUUAGUGGGGGACAACAUUCCGAAAGGGAUGCUAAUACCGCAUACGUCCUACGGGAGAAAGCAGGGGAUCUUCGGACCUUGCGCUAAUAGAUGAGCCUAAGUCGGAUUAGCUAGUUGGUGGGGUAAAGGCCUACCAAGGCGACGAUCUGUAGCGGGUCUAAGAGGAUGAUCCGCCGCACUGGGACUGAGACACGGCCCAGACUCCUACGGGAGGCAGCAGUGGGGAAUAUUGGACAAUGGGGGGAACCCUGAUCCAGCCAUGCCGCGUGUGUGAAGAAGGCCUUAUGGUUGUAAAGCACUUUAAGCGAGGAGGAGGCUACUGAGACUAAUACUCUUGGAUAGUGGACGUUACUCGCAGAAUAAGCACCGGCUAACUCUGUGCCAGCAGCCGCGGUAACAC
rnacentral:rRNA from 1 species